CAUCCUGUGAUGCUGCAUGCUGUGUAGUCAAAGGGAAAUGUCUCCUGACUAGCAGAGAGGUCUCUGAGUCCAUGAUGUCUGUGACAGAAACUGUCUUUGGAGAGAUCAGAGAGAAAGAGAAAGAGAAAGGAUUUGAGAGAAAUGGGCUAAUUAAAAUGCUCAGAAAAUCUCAACUUGUAGAUCUGGAAGAAAAGUAUAUGGAUAACUUCUUGUUUCCCUGCCAUUUGCCCCCUAAAAGUGAGGAAGCAUCGUUAACAUAUGUAAGAGAUGGGACUCUUCCUGUACAGAAGGAAAAAGUUGGAAAGCCCUCUUU
rnacentral:lncRNA from 1 species